rnacentral:lncRNA from 1 species
AUUUAAGAAACAACCAACUGUUAGAAAGCUGAAUGGCUACGCUUUAAAAUGAAUGUAAACUUUAACGUUUUCGUCUAUUAUUUGUUUAGCAAUUUACAUUUCAGUCGAGGAUUGCGCUUUUUUUUAUACACCCUGUAUAUAUACUUUAUAUAUUUUAGAAAUUGAUAGUUCUGUUUUUAAAAGUGUUCAAAUUUCAUCUAUUUUUUCCCGGUUUGUACAAAAAAUUAAAAAACAAUUAUCGUGUUGCUAUGACUAACAUGACGUGGCAACGCGAGCCUGCGUUCAGUGUUGGCGUAACUACGAAUACUUCAUGUUGACACAAUGUUUGGAAUAUAUAGGUGAGGGGUUGUUGCAUGCAUGUAUUUCUAGUAAUAUUGAUCACUUAAUGGUAGCGCUAGUGGAAGUCAAAUCUGAACCUCUAUAUUAUUUCUCGUCAUCCCAAACUUCCAUUCGUGUUUCAACAAUUGUGCACGUACGGAAACUGACGGAAAGCUUUUAGACUUCUUCCGUAUGGAUUAUGUCCAUGAGAGACAAUCUUAUCCACAUGCGGAACGGAAUAUUUAUUUUCUAAAAAGGAACAGGAAAAUUUCAAUAAAGCGCUUCUUUGAAGUUUCGCGAUUUUUUCACAAAUAGGACGGUUAACUGCAUUGAUUUCCAAUGCCAUAUUAUCUGAACUUACCCUUUAUUGGCCAAGAAGUUUUCCAUGUUUUGACACGUAAAAUAGUGUGGCGUUAGCUUGAGUAAUAUGAUAAAAAUGUUCACAAUCUGUUACAGUGGUAUCGACGUGGCACCAGCUACCGGCCCUCCAAUGGAAAGCUUGUGUUAGAGAAAGACUGGAUGAAGCAGGAAGACGCCUACGACCAAGGUAUACAGCAUAUCCUGGAGGAUCCCGAGCACAACAUAUGCAAAAUAGUGUAUUGGUUUCAUAUUUGUGGUGGAGGCUACUCCUUGAUGUGUUGGGAGGCCCCAAAAGAUACGCCAAUGACUUUCAAAAGGCAAAGUGGGGGGCAUGUAUUAUUUUUCAGCGAAGUUUGCUUCAAGUGGAAGGACGAAGUCCCCUUGCGAGGGUAACAAGAACGAUGAGCUCAACUCAAACGAUCACGAUAAAGCAUAGAAUUGACGGGAAACAGUUUUUUAUGAAUACUUUUUAAAGUUUCUUCUGAAUUAAGUCUGGUAAGACAGACAUUCACUUCCGCGGCAAAAAUUCUCAAAUCUGCGAAGGAAAUUUUCCAUAUUUUUGGGCCAUAAAUUAACUUUCACAGCUAAAAAUUGUAUCCUUUGGUGACUUAACAUCAUACAAAAAUGCAUUCAGGGGAUGGAGCAAGGAACAUUUUAUUAUACAAAACGGCUGCCAUAUUAAUAUGAAGCGCAACAUUAAAGCAAAUUUCCACUUGUAAGAAAACAUUUCCAACGACUUUUUUAACGUUUUUGUCUUAAUUAAGGCUGCAUUCCAGUUACGCGUUUUUCAUACGUGCGUACACGCACGUAAAAGUUGAAUUCGCUUAAAAUUUCAUAUAAGUGCAAAUAACCUUAACAAAUACACAUUAAAUCAUACACAAAACUGAAUGCUGUCCUUUUAUAAAUUUAGUUAUUUCAUAAGUAGGAUGUAAAGCGAAUUCAACUUUUACGUGCUUGUACGCACGUAUGAAAAAACGCGUAACUGGAAUGCAGCCUUUACUGAAAUAAUUUUGAGAUCCUGUUCGUGUGGCCAUUUAUUUGCUCUUCAGCAUAUACUUCUUAGGCAGAACGGUAAUCAUUUUCAGAAUUUCAGAAUACAAAUAUAUCGGCGGAUAUCAGAUAGAUAUAGAUGAAUGUUUUAAUGAUCACUAUACAUUGCAGCCAGCUGUGGGCUGAAUUGCGAAGAAUUUACAAAACGAUUAAGAUAAAAUUAUAUACAAUUUACAAUAUGUAAAAUAUUAUAGAAACAACUUGUUCAAAGCUACUCUUUAAAAGACUAAGCAAAUUUUUACACUAAAUAAAGGAAUGAAAGUGUUGUGAAAUCUCAUGUUAGUCUUAAUAAAUGCAUGGAAGUUCAUAUGUUCGUUGACAUCUUGAAUGGUAUAAUUUGUAUAUAACGUACAGGCUGUGAAGCUUACGAUAUUUGUUUUUACGACUGAAACAGAACGUUUGUCAUAACGAUUUUGGUAUCGAGCAGACAAGUUGCCUAGACGCGAAGCCAGUAAGCUGUCUUGAUCAUCGAACAUUUGGCAAUACGAUGGAC